AGAGUUUGAUCCUGGCUCAGAAUCAACGCUGGCGGCGUGCCUCAGACAUGCAAGUCGAACGAUUAAGACUUCCUUCGGGAAGUGCAUAAAGUGGCGCACGGGUGAGUAACACGUAAGUAAUCUACCUUNGAGUGGGGAAUAACGUCCGGAAACGGACGCUAAUACCGCAUAAUGCAGCGGCAUCGCGAGAUGACAGUUGUUAAAGGAGCAAUUCGCUUGAAGAGGAGCUUGCGGCAGAUUAGCUAGUUGGUAAGGUAAUGGCUUACCAAGGCUACGAUCUGUAACCGGUCUAAGAGGACGGUCGGUCACACUGACACUGAAUAACGGGUCAGACUCCUACGGGAGGCAGCAGUCGGGAAUUUUGGACAAUGGGGGAAACCCUGACCCAGCAACGCCGCGUGAAGGAUGAAGUUUUUCGGAAUGUAAACUUNGAAAGAAUGGGCCGAAUU
rnacentral:rRNA from 1 species